GAUGAACGCUGGCGGCGUGCCUAAUACAUGCAAGUCGAGCGAACAGAUGAGGAGCUUGCUCCUCUGACGUUAGCGGCGGACGGGUGAGUAACACGUGGAUAACCUACCUAUAAGACUGGGAUAACUUCGGGAAACCGGAGCUAAUACCGGAUAAUAUAUUUAACCGCAUGGUUCAAUAGUGAAAGACGGUUUUGCUGUCACUUAUAGCUGGAUCCGCGCCGCAUUAGCUAGUUGGUAAGGUAACGGCUUACCAAGGCAACGAUGCGUAGCCGACCUGAGAGGGUGAUCGGCCACACUGGAACUGAGACACGGUCCAGACUCCGACGGGAGGCAGCAGUAGGGAAUCUUCCGCAAUGGGCGAAAGCCUGACGGAGCAACGCCGCGUGGGUGAUGAAGGUCUUCGGAUCGUAAAACUCUGUUAUUAGGGAAGAACAAAUGUGUAAGUAACUAUGCACGUCUUGACGGUACCUAAUCAGAAAGCCACGGCUAACUACGUG
rnacentral:rRNA from 1 species